rnacentral:rRNA from 1 species
UACAGAGGGGGCAAGCGUUAUUCGGAAUUAUUGGGCGUAAAGGGCGCGUAGGCGGCCUGGCAAGUGGAUGGUGAAAUCCCUCGGCUUAACCGAGGAACUGCCAUCCAGACUGCUUGGCUUGAGACCGGGAGAGGUGAGUGGAAUUCCCAGUGUAGCGGUGAAAUGCGUAGAUAUCAGGAGGAACACCGGUGGUGUAGACGGCUCACUGGACCAUAACUGACGCUGAGGCGCGAAAGCUAGGGGAGCAAACAGG